rnacentral:rRNA from 1 species
GACGUAGGGCGCGAGCGUUGUCCGGAUUUAUUGGGCGUAAAGAGCUCGUAGGCGGCUUGUCGCGUCGACUGUGAAAACCCGCGGCUUAACUGCGGGACUGCAGUCGAUACGGGCAGGCUAGAGUUCGGUAGGGGAGACUGGAAUUCCUGGUGUAGCGGUGAAAUGCGCAGAUAUCAGGAGGAACACCGGCGGCGAAGGCGGGUCUCUGGGCCGAUACUGACGCUGAGGAGCGAAAGCGUGGGGAGCGAACAGG